rnacentral:rRNA from 1 species
GUCCACGCCGUAAACGAUGUCGACUAGCCGUUGGGCCCUUAUAGGGUUUAGUGGCGCAGCUAACGCAUUAAGUCGACCGCCUGGGGAGUACGGCCGCAAGGUUAAAACUCAAAUGAAUUGACGGGGCCCGCACAAGCGGUGGAGCAUGUGGUUUAAUUCGAUGCAACGCGAAGAACCUUACCUACCCUUGACAUCCUAAGAACCUGCCGGAGACGGCGGGGUGCCUUCGGGAGCUUAGAGACAGGUGCUGCAUGGCUGUCGU